UAUUUGUUCCCCUAACCCUUUGGGGUAUUUGUUUUUCUUUCCCCUAUUUGUUUGGAAAGACGUAAGAGGACCACUCCCAGUGGAUGACGUCGUACCAUUUGACGAGAGUGGUAACGCGAAUAUCUGUUAAGGGUCACCCUUGGCUAAGUACUAUCAUGAUUGUAGAUAUCUGAUAAGGUCACUAUGGUUGGUACGACCGUGAUUGUAGAUCGUAC
rnacentral:lncRNA from 1 species